AGCGACAGAAUGACCACUGCAUGCUUGUUGCUGCAGCACACUAAUCUGGACAACUGAUUUUGACGUAAUGACCCGUGCCAGUUUAAUUCCUUGACCGAGUUAUAACAAUGCAGCUUUGAAUCAAAAUAUAGAAGAAAUUUGGAUUUCUGUCACUCGGUAAUUGUUCGUAAGUCGCCGUAAAGCUCUCGUUUCGUACUUUCCGCCAUGAUGAUAUAGAAAAACAAUAAUUUCUUUAUACUAU